rnacentral:rRNA from 1 species
GAUGAACGCUGGCGGCGUGCCUAAUACAUGCAAGUCGAGCGAACGGACGAGAAGCUUGCUUCUCUGGUGUUAGCGGCGGACGGGUGAGUAACACGUGGAUAACCUACCUAUAAGACUGGGAUAACUUCGGGAAACCGGAGCUAAUACCGGAUAAUAUUUUGAACCGCAUGGUUCAAAAGUGAAAGACGGUCUUGCUGUCACUUAUAGAUGGAUCCGCGCUGCAUUAGCUAGUUGGUAAGGUAACGGCUUACCAAGGCAACGAUGCAUAGCCGACCUGAGAGGGUGAUUCGCCACACUGGAAAUGAGGAACGGGCCCGACUCCCACGGGAGGCAGCAGUAGGGAAUCUUCCCCAAAGGGCGAAAGCCCGACGGAGCAACGCCGGGGGAGUGAUGUAGGUUUUCGGAUCGUAAAACUCUGUUAUUAGGGAAGAAAAAAUGUGUAAGUAACUUUGCACAUCUUGACGGGACCUAAUCAGAAAGCCACGGCUAACUUCCUG